AUUGGGGAAUACUACUCACCAGAUCAUCCAAGACCUCCCAAAAGAGCCUCUUAACCUCCUCCUCUAAGCCCGCUUACGGCGCGUAAGCGCUGAUGACGUUGAGGACGCAACCCCCAAUAACCAACUUAAUAGACAUUAACCUAUCAUUCACUCGCCUAACCUUGACCACGGACUCCCUUAGAUCCCUAUCUACCAAGAUGCCCACUCCAAUCUUACCUCUCACGAUCCCAGAAUACCACAGCUUAAACCCGUA
rnacentral:lncRNA from 1 species